rnacentral:rRNA from 1 species
CUGCUGCCUCCCGUAGGAGUCUGGUCCGUGUCUCAGUACCAGUGUGGGGGACCUUCCUCUCAGAACCCCUACGCAUCGUCGUCUUGGUGGUCCGUUACACCGCCAACUAACUAAUGCGACGCAUGCCCAUCCGCCACCGGAACUAACCUUUGGCACCAACAGGAUGUCCCGUCGAUGCAUUAUGCCGUAUUAGACGGAAUUUCUCCCGAUUAUCCGGCUGUGGCAGGCAGGUUGCAUACGUGUUACUCA